CUACGGGAGGCACCAGUGGGGAAUAUUGGACAAUGGGGGAAACCCUGAUCCAGCAAUGCCGCGUGUGUGAAGAAGGCCUGCGGGUUGUAAAGCACUUUCGGUUGGGAGGACUGCUUCUAGCACUAAUAUUGCUGGAAGUUGACGUUACCUUCAGAAGAAGCACCGGCUAACUCCGUGCCAGCAGCGCGCGGUAAUACGGAGGGUGCAAGCGUUAAUCGGAAUUACUGGGCGUAAAGCGCGCGUAGGCGGCUAGAUCAGUCGGGUGUGAAAGCCCCGGGCUUAACCUGGGAACUGCAUCCGAUACUGUCUAGCUUGAGUACAGGAGAGGAGAGUGGAAUUCCACAUGUAGCGGUGACAUGCGUAGAUAUGUGGAGGAACACCAAUGGCGAAGGCAGCUCUCUGGCCUGAUACUGACGCUGAGGUGCGAAAGCGUGGGGAGCAAACAGGAUUAGAUACCCCGGUAGUC
rnacentral:rRNA from 1 species